AAAUAAGGAAGUUGGGUAUGUCUAAAACAAGAAAAUUGAUUCCAAACCGAAUACCUGGUUGAAGAAGGGCCAUCCUUCCAUAUUCUGAGCCCGAAGUGUAUCUACAUUUACUGCUUGGUAAUUUACUCUAGAUCUCAAAAUCUUCGGUCUCUGCUCAAAAUAUUAAGCUAUGAGUACCUCCAUUUAUAUAACUGUUUGAAACUGGUAAGUCCAUUUAUAUAACUGUUAGAAAGAAGAAGAAGAUUAACAUCAACACAACACUAGCUACUUGAUCAUAUAUAUACAGUAGCUGAGAUAUAGUAAUUUGAAAGUGCUAGGCACUCGGUAUCUCAUCCUCUUGCUUUACCUGGACUUUGCUAGCAAUUAAUCAUGCAAUUGGAAAUGAAAUCUAGCAUAAUUGGAAAUGAACAUAGCACGACCAGUAAUAGGUGAAUAAUGAUCCAAAAGUCAUAAUUUCUAUAGUAAACUGUAUAUGCCAUUAAUUGAUUCUGGUGACUACUUGGACCAAAGAGGGUCCUACUUCAGAAUGAUCUCAAGGAUCUUUAUGUUCUCUUCAUAAAGAUAACAGUGCAUUAUAUAAGAAUAAUGCAAUUCUACAGAAGAGAAAAAGAUCAAGAAUGGAUCUCAAACAAGUAUUUACUAUGAUAACCCAACCCCUCGUUUGGAGUAUUUGCAUUACAUUUUUAUGUUUUGAGACUACAUAAGAGUUUAUAUAAUAUUUUGGGACUUUUUGGUACAGUUUAGGUUAAGACCCAAGGGGUUUGGAAAUAUAUUUUCCAUUUCAGCUGAUGCUGAUUUCUAGUACAGGCAAUUUUAUCAAGUUCCCAGUUAAGGGAAACAUUGUGCAUAGCGAUAAAGUGCUCCCUGCACAAUUACAUAGAGUAAAUAGGAGCUCAAGGUCUAGGCUCUUUGGCAUUCGCUGGGUCCCGAGCAAGCUGCAACACAAUCGCGUGGACAUGUCGCGAUCAUAAUGAAGAUUCACCCGGAUAUGAAUGUCAACAAGUACAUGUAGGAUUCUCCAAAAGAAGUGUAUUCUUGGGUAGGAUAUAGGGAAUAUUGAGAGUCUAAUUUGACAUAGAUAUAGGGACUGUUGGGAGUCCGAUUGUGGUAAUGAUACAGGAUUAUUGUGUGAGAUCGUUGGUAUGACAUUAAUGUGCACGUGUGAAUUUUGAUCCAUCCCUCAUAAAUCACCAACAAGGUACCUACCUUACCAUGUGCAGAUUGGUUUUGGUUCUUGUUAUGUGCACUUAGGUGCCAGAUGAUGGUAAUGAUGUUGAGAUUAUUGGUAUUGAGAUUUCGGACCCUGUUUGAGAGAGCUGAAUUGGAUAAUGUUUGAAUCUUUUCUGCAUAUCUUGUUGAUAUGUCUUGUUAUCAUUAUCUUUUGUUGAAUUGCUUAUGCAUAUCGUCUAUGUUUAUCUGUGCAAAUCUAACUUGUUGAAUUGUUCUAUACUGUGGUGUGCAUACUUUUUUGUUGCCUUCUUAUUGUAUUACACAGGUUAAUUGAAAACAGUUGUUUUUAUUUAUCCUCACUAAAAUAUUUUUGGGGGCGGUUAAUGAUACUUAAUUGAGUACUUCCCAUAUUCACCUCCUCUUCCCAACACUAUAUGUGCAUAUUCUGACCCCAAUAGGAGUUCCAUCCAUGAUUGAGCUUUAGAAGAUUUCUCGUGUAUCCUGUGGUGAGCUGCCAACCAGUUCUUGGUAUAGUUUAGAGUUUAUAUAUGUUAUUUUCCCUUUCCUAUACGUUUAUGCUACCCUAUUUCGGAAAGUAUAGUACUAAUUCUACUCUUAGAUGCUCGUGACUAGUAUUACCAGAUUCUAGUGUUAUGUGGAUUUGAUUCAGUAGUGUAUCAUACUUUAUUGUUCUCUUAUGCAUGUUGAUACUCUACUUAGACUUUCUUGGUGUUGGAUUUGGACAUCGAGAGUUGAAUUGUUUUUGGCUCGCCAAAUAUGGGGGUUGUUGGGUGCCAUCACGGUUUAGUUAAAUUGGAUCGGGACAUUCACAAACUCAACAAUCUGUCCAGCUGGUUGGAAUUUAAACAAGGUAUACAGUUCCAUUAAAGGGCCUACAGGCUAAAAAAAAAAAAAGGGAAAAGAACACUCUGUAGCACUUUUUAAAACAAAUAGCUCAAGUUUGAAAACUUUUCAAAAAGGGUCAGUCGGAUGUACUAUUUUCUCUUUAUAGUCAUUUCCUAAUUUGGGUCAUUUUGGCCUACGUAGUCCAUAUACAAUACUGAUACAGUCUAUAUACAAUACUGAUCCAGGUAUUCAACUUGGGCAAUCUGGUUCUUUAAAAAUAUUUCAAUUUUUUUUUGCUAUAAAUUUUUUAAUUGAUCAAAUAUUCUGCUUUUUUUCAUUGUUUAGAAAUAAUAAUUAAAUUAUAUAAAAACGAUAUAAUUGUUAAAUAGAAUAUGUAUUUAUAUAAGAUAUAUGUAUAAAAAUUGUAUAGUUCUAUCAAAUAUGUAAUGUAUAAAAUAUAUAUAAAAAAUAUAUAGAAAGUGUAUGAAAAUUAUAUAAUUGUUUUAUAAAACGUGUAAAAAAAAAUGUACAAUUCUUGUAUAAAUUGUGUAUCAAAACUGUAUAAUUUUUGUAUAAAAUAUUUAUAUGUAUAAGAUUUGUAGAGAAACUGUAUAGAAGGUGUGUAGAAACGGUAUAGAACAAGCUAGUAAACUAAAAUGGCUAGAAAGUGGAAUUUAAAUUCUAUGGCCAUUUUUAUGAAAAUAGUUUAAUUUGAAGUGUCGUUUCUGUCCUUUUCCCCAAAAAAAGAAGGGACCUACAAGCAGGUUUUUCAUGACAUUCAGUAAAACAUUUACUGGUGGUUCUAGUUUUCACCUGAAUCUGUAAAAUUGACUUCGAUGUAGUGUAUAUAAGUUCCCAUUUUCCAUUCAGAAGACUUGACUUGAGGGGCUCCUUUGUUGGAUUGCAACCAUCAAGUUUGCGAGCAAUCUAAUUAAAUAAGAGUGUUAAGGAAAGUUUGACAGACUAUAACAAACAUGAUGUGUACAAUCCCUCAGAAUACUAAUUUAAGAUCAGAAGAUAAAAACCUAUUAGAUAUUUCAAUUAUAUGAAUCAUCUCUUGCUAACCUAAUUCUUAACAUACUCCUGAACUUACAUACAUUGAGCAAGUAUUAACAUAGAUAAAGAAAAACACCGUAAUUACAAUCAGCUCAUGACACAGAAUAUUUAGCCCUGCAAUAGCAAGUGAAUGAUGAAUCUGAACCACCCCUUUUUGGCCGAGAUGAUGAAAUAUUGGAUAGAAUGUAAAAAUCAUUUGGUGUACAAGUAGUUGUGAAAGAAAGAACUCUAUAAAUAGUAUACUAAAAUGAAUAAUAUCCGUAAUCCAACAAGUUCCUAUAUAUAAAGCGAGACUUUUGUUCCAACUUUGUUACAUUUUGCACAUAAGUUAUGUAUAUGCAUAAAAUAUGGUACCAUUAGCACGACAUUACUUGUUUGUGUGUAUACUACACUACAUAGCGGACCUAUCCGCAUGUAAAUAGUAAGAACAAAACAGAAAAGUCAAAAUCAAAUAGUUCCAGAAUAUAUAAAUGUAGUACAAAUAAGUACUAAUAUUUUUGAGAUGGAAUAAAGCAAACCUGAUCAAUUAUUUGCUGGUCUUGAGAAGUGGCAUCAGCGCCACGAUCAAGAGGUACAAUGGCCUCAAGAAGCUCCUGUUUAAUGGGUGUAGCAUCUUUGGUCUUGUUGAAGAAAGCAGGGAAGAAAGAAACAUUGGUCCGCCAUUUUUUAUUGUGAGUAGAAGUGGUGAUAUGAUGAGGAUUUUGGAUAGCAGGGAAAGAAAAAGAGGUGGAAUGAGCGAGAUAAAGCUUGGUUGAAUACUGAGUAGCGACAUGUGUUGGUAAGGGGGAAGGGGAUAAUGAGGAUAAGGCCAUGGAAAUGGUGCAAAUGAGUUUCUAGGGGACACUUUAAUUAAAUAAACGAAAAGGCCAAAACUAUUCUCAACUAUAUUUUAUGUAGAGCAAAAAUAUUUCCAUUUUUUUUUUAGCUUAAAAAAUAUACCUUUAUUUAUUAGCUCAAAAAUAUUUCACUUUAAUAGAGUGCCACCAAGCACACCACAUGAAAAAAGUUACCAUAUUUUCAGUCCACAUCAGCAUCUCAUUUAUGAAAAAGAGUCAAAAUCAUUCCCGAACUAUUCAAAACAGAACAAAAAUACUCCUAUGUUUGUUUCUUGACUCAAAAGUACCCUUCUGUUUGUUUUUUACUCACAAAUAAUCCUACUUUAAUGUAGUGCCACCAAGGACACAAUGUAAAAAUAAUUUACCACAUGGUCAGGCCACAUCAACAUCCCAUUUAAUACCUAGCCGACUCACUUAACCAUCCAACUUAACAUCUCAUUUAAUACCUGUACCGGAUCCGUCUUUAAAAACUUUGACGCAUCUUCACUUAAACUCUACCAAAUAUAUCGAUGAAGACUAGGGAUUUUUAGAAAAAAGAAAACCCUUAGUACGUGGGUUGAACUCUCAUAUAUUCUUUGGCAUGAUAAAGAUGGAUCGAAUUUCAACCCAUGUACUAAGGACUUUCUUUUUCUCUCAAAAUCCCUAGUAUACAUUAAUCUUUUUCGGGAGAGUUCAAGUGAAACAAAGGGUGGUUCUAUCUUUACCCUUUACUUAUGAAGACAAGUUGAAUGUUUUAAAGAUGAGCCGAAUACAUGUAUUAAAUAGGAUGUUAAGUUGGAUGGUUUAGUGAUUUGAUUGGGUAUUAAAUGGGAUGUUGACGUAGAUUGUCCAUGUAAUAAUUUUUUUUGUGUGGUGUGCUUAGUGACACUCCAUUAAAGUAAGAAGUAUAUGUGAGUCAAAAAAUAAUCUGAGGGGUAUUUUUGAGCUAAAAAAUAAAUGAAGGGUAUUUUGGGGCAGGGUGGUAUAAAUGGAGGCUUGCUUCGGGAGUUUUAUGUAAUAAGAAGGUGCCCCCAAACCUUAAAGGAAAGUUCUACAAUGGGGUCCGACCGGCUAUGUUGUAUAGAGCGGAGUGUUGGCCAGUUAAAAACUCCCACAUCCAAAUAUUGAAGGUGGCAGAGAUGAGGAUGUUGCGAUAGAUGUGUGGUCAUACUAGAAAAGAUAGCGUAAGGAAUGAGAUUAUUCGAGAAAAAGUGAAAGUAGCCUUGGUGGAGGACAAGAUGCGAGAAGUUAGGUUACGUUGGUUCGGACAUAUGAUGAGGAAGAGCUCUAAUGCUCCAGUGUAGAGGUGUGAGACACUGGCUAUAGAUGGUUUUAGGCGAGGUAGAGGUAUGUUGAAAAAGUAUUGGAAAGAGGUGAAUAGGCAUGAUAUGAAGCAGUUAUAGCUAACGGGGCACAUGACUCUUGAUAGGAAGGUGUGGAAGAUGCGGAUUCGGAUAGAGAGUUAGGGGGUGAGAGUGUGUCGGUAACAAUAGGGGAGCGUUCUUUAUUUGUGUCUGAAGUUUCUUGUUCGUGGUGUUGAGUGUUGAUUAUGGUUUCGGAUAUAUAAUUUUUAAUAUUAUCGCGUGGCUAUAGUAUUAUCGUAUGGCUAGUGGUGUUAGUUUAUUUUGCAGAUUGUACUAGUUUAUAUGGAUUUAUAUUUUGUGUUUGUUAUACUGCUAUCGGUCCUAAGCCGAGGGUCUAUCGGAAACAACCUCUCUACUUUAUCUGAGGUAGUGGUAUGGUCUGCGUACGCUCUACCCUCCCAAGACCCCACUAUGUGUGAAUACACUGGGUAUGUUGUUGUUGUAUUUUGAGAUAAAAAAUAAAUGGAGGAUAUUUUGCUCCAUUUCGGAUAGUUUAGAUGUAGUUUUGGCUCUUUUUCGUAAAUAAGAUGUUGGCAUGGAUUAAUCAUGUGGUAAUUUUUUCCACGUGAUAUGCUUAGUGGCACUCCAUUAAGGUAAGGAGUAUUUUUAAGUUAACAAAAUAAAUGGAGAGUAUCUUUACUAUAUUUCAAAUAGUUCAGAGGUAAUUUUGACCAUUUUCCAUUAAAUAAAUGGUUGUUAAACUGAUGUGUUUAUCCUUGUAUUUUAUUUCCAAAUAAAUGAUAUAUGACAUGACUUAAAUCUUUUCUCUACCAAAAUUAUCCAUAUUUUAAUACAUGGAGUUUACAUUAUUAAGAGUCACUUCUUUCUUCAAGAUAUUUAAUUGAGAUUAAAAUAACGAUAAAAUAUUUCUUAUUUUUUAAGAAAUCAAUAGUUUUCUUAAAGGGUAUUUCAAGGCUAAAAGUAUUUUUUUUAAAAAAUGGAGAGAGUAAUAAUUAGUUCAUUUAUUUCAAUUUGUUUGUCAUAUUUUAACUUGACACAAAGUUUAAGAAAAUAAAUAAGACUUGAAUUUUAUAGUCUUUAACUAAAGAUAUGUCAAAUGUAUCAAAAUGAUUUUUAAUCUUAUGGUCCUAAAUAUAUCACAUGAAAAGUUGAAAUUAAAGAAUUUCUAAAAAUGAAAAAAGACAUUCUUUUUUUAAAUAGAUUAAAACGAAAAGUAGUAAAAUUAAAUUGAAAAGGAUGGAAUAUAAAAAAAUUUCACAACCUUUACUUUACGCUUGAUGAAUGAACAUAAAAAUCAGAUCUAUUAGGAUCUACUAGGUCCGUGGUCUCGUAAAUUGAAGGGUCCUUCCCUCAAUUAUUCUCUCUUUUAGCUCCUAUCUGACCAAUCUUGUUAUAGAAUUUUUCGUAUGAUUUGAGAUAAGACAAAUCUUAUAAGAAAGAGUCAUAUUUCCAUCACAAAUAGUCUUCGUAUUUAUUUGCUUGGACCUAUAAAUUUUUGGGUAAGUUUUAAUAGGAGUAGAAGAAAAAUUCAUCACGUGAAAAGUGAUUCAACUUAUCCACAUUCAACAUUAGUGAUGUUUUUGCGUUUUAGCUUUGAAAAAUUUUCAACAAAAAAAAGGGAAAAGCAGGCACUGGGACAGUUUGGCAAAAGAUGUGCUUACUUACUAAGGUAGAAGUAUGGAUUUCAGAUCUCUAUUUGAAAUCUCAAAUGCUUUAUUUGUCAAGUUAUAGUGGAGAUUUAGGACAUUUGGAACCAUAUGGUCUACUUUUAUGUGAAAUAAAUACUAUAAGAAGAAACUCCCUACUAUGAUUUCAUGGAAAGAGGGUUCACAAUUAUGGAAGAAAAUGCUGGAAGCUAGGGAUGAGGUAGAGCAUAGUAUCUGGUGGGAACCAAAAAAUGGUUCAACUAGUUUUUGGUAUGAUAAUUGGUCUAAGUUGGGUCCUUUGUACCAACUUGCGUCAAUUGAUAUGUGUUUAACUUUGCAGAGGUAAAUUAUUUUUUUCAGAAUGACAGGUGGAAUGAAGAUUUUCUUAAUCAACAAUUAUCAAGUUAUUUUUGUAAAUCACAUUCUUGCGGAAUAUCCUAGAAGAUUGCAAACAGAGAAGAGGGACAAACCUUGGUGGUUGCUUACUACUAAUUGGAACUUUUGAGUAAAAAGUUUUUCGGAUUUUGAUGUGUCAUGGUUUCAUGACACCUUCGAUGCUCAAAAUAAAGAAAUUAUGAAGGAACUUAGGUACUUUUACUGGGUAUGAUAUGUUUUUGUAUUGAUUGUGCAGGAAAAUAGGUUUCAAAGGAAAAACUCAGAAAAGGAUGAAAAAUUUGCUAAGUGAAGAGAAGUUGGUGACUUAUGAGUGUGGUCUACGAAUCAUUAAUUAGAUCCACGACUUAUGAUUGGGGUUCGUGAGUUGACUUCUGAAGCUGAAGGAAAAGUCUGAUUUCUACAAAUUCAUGAGUCGUGACUUCAAACCACGACCCGUGGGUGGCAGUCAUGUCAUAUACUGAAGACUGAUACUGAGCCUGAUUUUCAUGAUAAAGACCUAUGACUUAUGGGUCUGAUCCACAACUCCACCCAUGACUCGUAGCAUGUCCCGACUUAGUUUUCUUACAUAGUUUAUGAUAAGAUUCAUUUUGUAUCUAUAAAUACUCUCAUUGUAUUUUACGAUUAGUUUACACACUUUUACAUUAUUUUGAGUUUCUUAGACACAUUAUUGAUCUUGGGACUAUUUGAUAUUGGUUUUUAGGAUUUUUGAUCUAUUUGAGAUUUGAUUUUUUAUCUUAUUCUUGUAAGUGCAAAAUUAUGCUUUCAUCUAUGAACUCCUCUUGCGUGCUUAUGAUCAUGAGUAGCUAAACUCCAUCACUAGAUUGUGGC
rnacentral:lncRNA from 1 species